UCAAGGAAGUUGAGGGGGGUCUCCAGUUAGCCUUGAGAUGGCAGGUAGCCCUCCUUGUUUCCUGCUAAUCAUCCUGACAACCUGUGUUCUUGAGUUUCGCAGGAAACGACUGUGGAAAAUGAGACCACAGUCGAAUGUGUAAAAUUAGAGACCCGGUGGCGAUCCUGCCUGGAACGCGAUUUGUCACCCUCUGUCGAACUGAGACACUGAAAGGCUCUCGGGGUCCCGAGGAGGCUUUAGGGCUUGCAGUUCCCCGCCCAGCUCUCUAGGAGAAAGCCUGCUCAGAGCCUGGCUGGCAUCCCAGCGCUGCACUCCGGCUCCCGGGGAGGACGUUCUCGGUCAGGACUCCGGGCACCUCCUCCGUGUCUGCACACUUCUGACUGGGAGCCGCCGCCCUCCCACGCUGCCUCUGGCUUCCUGGCCUGGCUCCUCUCCCCGCUGGCACGGCGGGCGGCCUUUCCGGACAGGCACUUCCUAAACGCUGCUCCAGCUUCUGAUGGGGGUCUGCGCUUGGAGGCUCAAUGAAAAGAACCAGGACAGAAUGGAUGGACAGCAUCACUCCAUCGGCAGGAAUCAGUGCUCACAGGGGUAAAGAUGCUUGUAUGGAAGCAUGGAGCCGGCGAGGACCCAGGCCAUCACCUCCCAGACUCCUGACUCCCAGGCAGAAUAUUACCGACUAAGCCUGGAUGCUGGCGACUCCCCAGGCCUUGCUUCAAGUUUUGACUCCACUGCUUGUGAGUUCUGUGACUUAUGAACUCUAAGAAUCCAUUUCCCUCUUUGCAAAAUGACAGAAAUAGUAGUUAUCUCUUCACAAGGUUGUAAAGAGGAUUAAACGAGAUAAUGUCUGUGAA